GCCAGUGUGGCAUAGUGGUUUGAGUGUUGGACUACGACUCUCGGGACCAGGGUUUGAAUCCCAGCUCAGCCA